AGGUUAAAGCAGCCACUGGAGAAGAAGUGUCAGCUGAGGAUCUUGGAGGUGCUGAUCUUCACUGCAGGGUCCAUGGUUGGAGUGCUUUGGGGUCCCCUGACUACAGCUGGAUUGGUCAAUCAAACCAGAAGAUUGGGGUAUUGGUUAGAGUUCAGGAGUAAGAAGAUCAUCUACCUCCUAGAAUUUUGUGAGAAUUAAAUGAGAUGGUAUGUGUAAAUUGCUUGAAACAAUACCUGCUUUAAAAUAAGUACCUGUAAUUGUUAACUGCCAUUAUUAUUAUUGUUUAUCAUCGUAAUUGGUCAUUAAAUGUUUUGGACUUUUUCUUUUAUGAGCAAUUAGGAAACCAUCGAAGAGUUUU